rnacentral:rRNA from 1 species
UACAGAGGUCCCAAGCGUUGUUCGGAUUCACUGGGCGUAAAGGGUGCGUAGGUGGCCAGGUAAGUUCGGUGUGAAAGCUCGGAGCUCAACUCCGAAAAGUCAUUGAAUACUAUCUGGCUGGAGGGUCGGAGGGGAGACUGGAAUUCUCGGUGUAGCAGUGAAAUGCGUAGAUAUCGGGAGGAACACCAGUGGCGAAGGCGGUUGCCUGGGGCUUUGCUGACGCUGAUGCGCGAAAGCGUGGGGAGCGAUCCGG